AUCAAUCUAGUUGAGAAAACAUGGCGGCGUCGGUAAACUUGUUGGAUUUUGUUUCAUUUGCAAAGCUAUUUACGACAAGGAAAACCAGAAAGUUUCCACAUUUGGUGUAAAUAAAACUCAUUUGGAAUCUUGGCAGUAAAAAGCAGCCGGAAUUACUGUUGGGGACAAAUUGUGUGAAAAACAUUUUGCUCCACAUGAUGUUAUCAAAGGAUCUUUCAUGCUGGACUAUUUAUGUCCUUACAAAAGGUGGAGGGUUGCUGAAAAUGCAAUCCGACAAUACUUCCUCACAUCACAGAAACCAAUGAAGCAUAAGCACUAGUCGACAAAACUGAAAAUUUGUCUGGAUGUAAAACAAAGCACAGAGAUGCAAAGGUGAUUACAAAUCCGUCUCCCAGACUAACAACCAGACCAAACCAGAAAACAAGCA